GACGAACGCUGGCGGCGUGCUUAACACAUGCAAGUCGAACGAUGAAGAAGAGAAACGCGAACUUCGGUUCAACUUUCACUUCGGAUUAGUGGCAGACGGGUGAGUAACGCGUGAGCAACCUACCUCUUACAAAGGGAUAGCCCCGGGAAACCGUGAUUAAUACCAUAUGACACAUUCAUAAGGCAUCUUAAGAAUGUUAAAGCUACGGCGGUAAGAGAUGGGCUCGCGUCCCAUUAGCUAGUUGGUGAGGUAACGGCCCACCAAGGCGACGAUGGGUAACCGGGCUGAGAGGGAGAACGGACACAUUGGAACUGAGACGCAGUCCGAACUCCUACGGGAGGCAGCAAUGGGGGAUAUUGCAAAGUGGAGGGAACUCUGAUGCAGCGACGCCGCGUGAGCGAUGAAGGAAUUCGUGUAGUAAAGCUCUGUUCUAUGGGAAGAAAAGGACUGUACCAUAGGAGAAAGCCCCGGCUAAAUACGUG
rnacentral:rRNA from 1 species